ensembl:lncRNA
GCAGUGACGGGGUCGAUCCCAGCAGGGCUGGUGUCUAUAGCUUUUUCUGUGCACACGGCCCACAGGCAGUGCCGGAAGACCUGUGGCAGCAGGGAGUCAUUGGACAAGAGUAUUUUUAAGGAUUCCUGACCCCCUCUCCAGAAUACUCCAUCUCUGUAGGUUUAAGGAAGUGAAGUGAAGUGAAUUCGAUCAGUCGUGUCCGACUCUUUGCGACCCCAUGGACUGUAGCCUACCAGGAUCCUCCAUCCAUGGGAUUUCUCAGGCCCUGAGCUCUGGAUCCCGGGAGCUGCAACAACGGAGCCUACGUGCUGCAGCUCCUGAAGCCCGCACACCCUAGAGCCCGUGCUCCACAAGAAAAGCCACUGCAACGAGAAGCCCACACACUGCAACUAAAGAGAAGCCCCUGCUCACCGCAACUAGAGACAAACCCUCGCAGCAACGAAGACCCAGCACAGCCAAACACAAAAAUAA